ACACUGACAGGAGGUAAUUCUUUUUUUAUUUAUAUUUUUAGUAAGUAUACUUUUAAGUCCAGCUUUUAAGAGAUUUUAAAUCAAAUAUUUGAAAUUAAUUAUUAAUGUAACUCGCCUUAAAUUCUUACUUAUUAGCUGCACUUUGAUUUGUUUUUUUCUUAUUAAAGAUUAUGAACUAACUUUUAGUGAGUUCCUAGACAACGGUAUACAAGCUCUGAAAGUAAGUAGCGUUUACUUGGUGAUUAUCAAUUAUAUGGUAAGUUCCCCUAAAUACUACUUUCAGCCGCCAUAAUAUUUAAGUUUGUACCAAAUUUAUAGUAUUAAUUCUUGUUUUUUAAAUUUAAGCUCCGUAUAAUUGGGUAUCUAAUCCAGGUUUAUAUGUUGGAGUUUGGUUUAAAUAAAUUGCAUGUUAAAUAUAAGGUAGUAACAGUAUUUCACAACAUGUUUUUCCUUUAGCGCAUAAAUAAGUAAAUAAACAUUAAUUAUAAAUUUACCUAUUAGGUAUGACCGCGGUUGCUGGCACCUAAUACACCUAGAUUAUAUAAUUAACUAAAUUUAAAUUGCUUUAAUUUAUUAAAAUUUUUAACUGAAAAUUUAUUAAUAUUUCAUAUUAAAUUAAACUAUAUAUUUAUAAUUCCAUUAUAUUAAAGUGGCUUGUUCUAAGGGGGAUAUAUACCAUUUUAGA
rnacentral:rRNA from 1 species